AACGAACGCUGGCGGCAUGCCUAACACAUGCAAGUCGAACGAGACCUUCGGGUCUAGUGGCGCACGGGUGCGUAACGCGUGGGAACCUGCCCUUAGGUUCGGAAUAACUCCCCGAAAGGGGUGCUAAUACCGGAUAAUGUCUUCGGACCAAAGAUUUAUCGCCUUUGGAUGGGCCCGCGUUGGAUUAGCUAGUUGGUAGGGUAAAAGCCUACCAAGGCGACGAUCCAUAGCUGGUCUGAGAGGAUGAUCAGCCACACUGGGACUGAGACACGGCCCAGACUCCUACGGGAGGCAGCAGUGGGGAAUAUUGGACAAGGGGCGAAAGCCUGAUCCAGCAAUGCCGCGUGAGUGAUGAAGGCCUUAGGGUUGUAAAGCUCUUUUACCCGGGAUGAUAAUGACAGUACCGGGAGAAUAAGCUCCGGCUAACUACGUG
rnacentral:rRNA from 1 species